rnacentral:rRNA from 1 species
UGAGGGAAUAUUUGGGGUCAAUGGACGAAAGUCUGAACCAGCCAUGCCGCGUGAAGGAAUAAGGCCCUAUGGGUCGUAAACUUCUUUUGUAUGUGAGCAAUAAGGUCCACGUGUGGACCGAUGAGAGUAGCAUACGAAUAAGCAUCGGCUAACUCCGUGCCAGCAGCCGCGGUAAUACGGAGGAUGCAAGCGUUAUCCGGAUUCAUUGGGUUUAAAGGGUGCGUAGGCGGCUUGGUAAGUCAGCGGUGAAAUUCCAGUGCUCAACAUUGGCCGUGCCGUUGAUACUGCUGGGCUUGAAUGCGGAUGCCGUGGGAGGAAUGUGUGGUGUAGCGGUGAAAUGCAUAGAUAUCACACAGAACACCGAUUGCGAAGGCAUCU